AUUGAACGCUGGCGGCAGGCCUAACACAUGCAAGUCGAACGAGUGGCGGACGGGUGAGUAAUGUCUGGGAAACUGCCUGAUGGAGGGGGAUAACUACUGGAAACGGUAGCUAAUACCGCAUACCAUCGGAUGUGCCCAGAUGGGAUUAGCUAGUAGGUGGGGUAAAGGCUCACCUAGGCGACGAUCCCUAGCUGGGCUGAGAGGAUGACUAGCCACACUGGAACUGAGACAUGGUCCAGACACAUACGGAAGGCAGCAGUGGGUAAUAUAGCACAAGGUGCGCAAGCCGUAUGCAGCCAUGCCGCGUGUAUGAAGAAGGCCUUCGGCUUGUAAAGUACUUUCAGCGGGGAGGCGUUACCCACAGAAGAAGCACCGGCUAACUCCGUGCCAGCAGCCGCGGUAAUUC
rnacentral:rRNA from 1 species